GACGAACGCUGGCGGCGUGCUUAACACAUGCAAGUCGAACGGAAAGGCCCCCCUUUUGGUUGGGGUGCUCGAGUGGCGAACGGGUGAGUAACACGUGGGUGCUCUGCACUGUACUUUGGGAUCAGCUUGGGAAACUGGGUAUAAUAUCGGAUAGGACCGUGGUUUAGUGUGUUAUGGUGGAAUGAUUAUUGUUUUUGUGCAGGAUGAGCUCGAGGCCUGUCAGCUGGUGGGUGGAGUAAUUGCCUACCAAGGCGUCGGCGGGUAGCCGGAGAGUGAGGGUGGACGGCCACAAUGGGAGUGAGAUACGGGCCACACUCCUGCGGGAGGCAUCGGUAAUGAUUGUUACUCAGUGGGCGCAUGCCUGAUGCAGCGAGGCUGCGUGGAGGAGGACUUCCGUCUGGUUGUAAACUCCUUUCGUGAGGGACGGAGCCACACUUUUAUUGUGUGGGGUGACGGUUCCUUGGUUAAGAAGCACCGGCUAACUACGUG
rnacentral:rRNA from 1 species